UUGGAGGGCAAGUCUGGUGCCAGCAGCCGCGGUAAUUCCAGCUCCAAUAGCGUAUAUUAAAGUUGUUGCAGUUAAAAAGCUCGUAGUUGAAUUUCGGGAUUAGUACGUUGGUCGUGCCUUCGGUACGUACUGGUGUUACUGAUUCCUACCUUCUGACGAACCAUCAUGUCAUUAAUUUGGUGUGGCGGGGAAUCAGGACUGUUACUUUGAAAAAAUUAGAGUGUUUAAAGCGGGCUCGCGCUUGAAUACAUUAGCAUGGAAUAAUGAAAUAGGACGUUGACCCUAUUUUGUUGGUUUCUAGGAUUGACGUAAUGAUUAAUAGGGAUAGUUGGGGGCAUUAGUAUUCAAUUGUCAGAGGUGAAAUUCUUGGAUUUAUUGAAGACUAACUACUGCGAAAGCAUUUGCCAAGGAUGUUUUCAUUAAUCAAGAACGAAAGUUAGGGGAUCGAAGACGAUCAGAUACCGUCGUAGUCUUAACCAUAAACUAUGCCGACUAGGGAUCGGAUGAUGUUAUUUUUAAUGACUCAUUCGGCGCCUUACGGGAAAC
rnacentral:rRNA from 1 species